GCUCCCUUCAGGGGCACCUAUACUAAAAUUGGAAUGAUACAGAGGAGGUUUGCUUAACUCCUGAACAAGGAUGUCAUAUAAAUUCAUGAAGCAUUCCUUAUUUAA